AUUGAACGCUGGCGGCAGGCCUAACACAUGCAAGUCGAACGAGUGGCGGACGGGUGAGUAAUGUCUGGGAAACUGCCUGAUGGAGGGGGAUAACUACUGGAAACGGUAGCUAAUCCCGCAUACCAUCGGAUGUGCCCAGAUGGGAUUAGCUAGUCGGUGGGGUAAAGGCUAACCUAGGCGACGCUCUCUCGCUGGUCUGAGAGGAUGAACAGCAACAGUGGGACUGAGACACGGUCCAGACUCCUACGGGAGGCAGCAGUGGGGAAUAUUGCACAAUGGGCGCAAGCCUGAUGCAGCCAUGCCGCGUGUAUGAAGAAGGCCUUCGGGUUGUAAAGUACUUUCAGCGGGGAGGCGUUACCCGCAGAAGAAGCACCGGCUAACUCCGUGCCAGCAGCCGCGGUAAUUC
rnacentral:rRNA from 1 species